CUCGCCAGUCGCAGUGAGAACCCAGUCCAAAUCGCUCUUGCUCUCCGCUCGAAUCAACAAAUUUCUCUCGCUCUGCUCGCGCACAAGUCCAAAACCAAAGAGAUAGAGAUCCGUUUCCUGCUCAAAAUCUCAAACUUGCUACCGCUCGGUUCAUUCUUUUGAGGUGUCGUUGAGAUCGAUCGACUUUGGUUCAAUCUUGAAUCUCUAAUUGCUAGCCGGGUUCAAAUCUUCUUCAUUUGCUUCUGAGAUCAACAUCAGAGCCAACCCAGACUCGAUUACAGAAUUCCUCAGUUGAGGUGAAUCCUCAUCUCCUUCUUUCCAAUUCUUUCUUUCAGUAUAGAUCUAAGGAACAGUGUGCUGUCAACUUCUUUAGCUCUUUCGGCUUUAGAUAUAAAUAUUCCAGAAAUGGCGGUUCGACAUGGAAGAAAUAAACAAUAUAUUUUUUUGGGUGAAAAGAGAAGUGAAGAUGAACUCAGCGUUUCACAAAGUAGUCAAGAGAAUUUCUCGAAUAUGAGGAGGAAAAGACAAAAGCAAAGAGCUGGUGAUUCCACUAUGGUUGAGCAUUCAAUUUCAUCUACUGUUGUUGGUGUUACAGACGCUGUACCUGAUACCGCUGCUAUGCCAUCAUGUCCAAGGGCGCGAAAAAUGCGUGUCGAUUCUCAAAAAACUGUAAUACAUCUUAUUUGUAUACUUAUAAUCAAUUAUGAAUACGUAAUUAAUAAUGAGAAAAGGAACAGGUACAUACCCUUUUCUUCAUUGAUUUUCCUUUGUACAUGUUUGAAUGUGAAAAGGAAUUCAGGUGUGCCAAAAAUUGGAUCUUUGGGAAAGUUUUGGAAUUUUGGUAUUGAAAUUCUGAGUGGGUAUUUGGAACCUCUGUUUUCUGUCAAUUUGGGUGCAAUCAAUUUUGGCAUAUUGUCUGAUUGGUCAGUGAUGAGUGUUUGAUCUUAAUGAAACAAAGGUAUUUCCUAAGAGUUUAGUAGGCGACAACAUGGUUUAUUUUUACUCAGAGAUGGAUUGGUACUCUUUUGCUAUUGAGUUGUUGUCCUGGAACUCAUGCUUUUUAAAUAAUUGUGUGCAAAUUUUUGGAAUGGCAGAGAAGGAGAUGGAAUACAGGGUUGAGUUGUUCAACAAGUAGGUUUUCUGCAUGGUAUUUUAGUUGAUGUCACAAACGAGUAAUGGGGUUUUUGCAAGGUAGUAUUUGAAUCCAAUUUCUUUUCUAUCUCAGCUCCAAUAGUUUGAGCAAUUAGUUCGGGUGCUUCUUUGCCAUGUCACAAAUCAGUGCUGGUUAUGUAAAUAUUUGUAUAAAGAAUGUAUAAAGCUUAGCAAGCAAACAACCCCGCGGCAUUGCGCGGGCGGGAUUAUCUAGUAUAUACUAAAGCCUUGGGGGUUUUUUGUAAGAUAUAUUGUGGUUGUAGUUGGAAGGAUCCUGGUCAAUUCAUUGUAAUAUAAAACUUAGACUCUUAAUGGAUAGGUAAUUGUGUUGCCUAUUCCUCUGCAA